GUCCCAUUACUUUAUAUAGACAGCCUAUCAGACAACAUGGUAUAUCAACGUAGCUCUCCUAGCCUUUUGUAAAGUAAGACGAGGAACAAGAUAUAAACUGACUUAUCUUGGUAUAUACAUGUAUAUUUAAUAAACUCAUAUUGAUAUAAAAAAGAAGAUGUGGUAUGAUUGUCAAUGAGAACAAAAAAAAACCAGAAAUUAACAACUAUAAGUCACCGUACGGCCUUCAACUAUAAGCAAAGCACACAACGCAUAGUCAGCUAUAAAAGGCCACGAAAUGACAAUGCAAAACAAUUCAAAAAAAAAAACUAACGGCUUAAUGUAUGUACAAAAAUUAAAUGAAAAACAAAAAUGUGACACAUACACAAACGACAACCACUGAAUUACAGGCUCUUGACUUCGGACAGGCACAUACAUUUAGAAUGUGGCGGGGUUAAAUAUGUAAGCGGG
rnacentral:lncRNA from 1 species